rnacentral:lncRNA from 1 species
CCACUGUUGUCCUGGGGUCUCAUUUGAGCAGGUGAUCUCCAGAUGAUCUCCUAUCCUAAUCUAGCCCUCUGGUCCUGUGUGCUGCCCUGGCUGUUCAAGCCGUCCUUCUCUUCCAGGUCUCCCUGGAGCAUCAGUGCACUCCUGUCAACUAGGUCUCCUCGGGUUCCCCCGGUGUGCCCAUUCUCUUUUCUCUACUCACCCACCCAUAGUUGGACAAGCUUACGAGCCCCGUCUCAGGAGGGCAGUUUCUGAUGGUGCGAUUUGGUCAGGUCACCUGGCCUACGUGAGCCUGAAUUUUCCCGUCUGUGUAAUGUGAACGACAGUAGUAGUGAUCUUUCAGGCACUGGUCUGAAUUACUUGUGUGUAUUAGCACCCUGAAUCCCUAUGGCAGUGCUGCCGGCGGUUAAUAAAGGAGGACAUGAGAUAAUAAAAUGCACAAAAUUAAUCCAAAAGAAGAAAGAAAUGGGGAGAAAAAGAACAUAAAACAAGAGUGAACACAUCAAAAACAGAAAGCUAGAUGGAAGGUUUCAAUGGAAAGCCACACUGCUGGUACAUGAGGGAGCUGGGACUGAAACCCACGUAGUUGGUAUAUGCUUUCCAUCACUUAACUGCCUGUUAUCUUUAUAGGAAUAAAAGAAACUCUAGCACGUGCAAACAUAAAACUCACAGUGUCUAGCAUCUGAUCAAAAUUUGCUAGACAUAUCAUUAAGUGGGAAAACAUGACCCGUAAACAAGAGAAAGAUUGGUCAAUAGAAGCAGGCUCAGAAAUGACAAAAGAUGAUAGCAUUGGCAUAAAAGGCAUUGAAACAGCUGUUAGAAACAUGUGUAACAUGCUUAAGGAUGUGAAAGAAAACAUUAGCAUAAUGGGGAGAACAAGGGAAGAUACAAAAAAUAAGAACCAGAUGUAACUUCUAGAGAUGGAGAAUGGAAUAAUCUGAGAUAAAAUACUUACUGGGUAAACUUACAGUAGACUCCACACUACAGGAAAACAAAACAAAACACAACACAACAGAGCAGUAUAUGUGAACAUGUAGCAACAGAAACCAUCCAAAAUGAAGCCCAUACAGAAAAAAAACUGAAAGAAAACACAGUAUCAGUGACCCCUGGGAAAAUAUCAGC